rfam:Danio rerio chromosome 4, GRCz11 reference primary assembly.
GGUUUUGUGGCUUAGUUGGUCAAAACACCUGUCUAGUAAACAGAAGAUCCUAUGUAUGAAUCCCAGCAGUACCU